UACAGAGGUCUCAAGCGUUGUUCGGAUUCAUUGGGCGUAAAGGGUGCGUAGGCGGCGCGGUAAGUCGGGUGUGAAAUCUCGGAGCUUAACUCCGAAACUGCAUUCGAUACUGCCGUGCUUGAGGACUGGAGAGGAGACUGGAAUUUACGGUGUAGCGGUGAAAUGCGUAGAUAUCGUAAGGAAGACCAGUGGCGAAGGCGGGUCUCUGGACAGUUCCUGACGCUGAGGCGCGAAGGCCAGGGGAGCAAACAGG
rnacentral:rRNA from 1 species